rnacentral:rRNA from 1 species
UACGUAGGGGGCAAGCGUUGUCCGGAAUCAUUGGGCGUAAAGAGCGUGUAGGCGGCCCGAUAAGUCCGCUGUGAAAGUCCAGGGCUCAACCCUGGGAUGCCGGUGGAUACUGUCGGGCUCGAGUCCGGAAGAGGAGUGUGGAAUUCCUGGUGUAGCGGUGAAAUGUGCAGAUAUCAGGAGGAACACCAAUGGCGAAGGCAGCACUCUGGGACGUGACUGACGCUGAGACGCGAAAGCGUGGGGAGCAAACAGG